rnacentral:lncRNA from 1 species
GGAGUCUGGAUGGGGUAGCGCACGCUGCCGUCUGCCAGCCAGCCCGGGUCGCACUGGUCCAGGCCCUCGUGCCAGGCCAGGUGCAACUGCCCCACCGAGGCCAGCGCUGCACCCUGCCGCUGACAUUGUGCCCGCGCGCCCGCCAGGGUCAGUCGGCGGGCCGGGCCCACGUAAAAGACUUCACCUGGGAGAGGGAAAAAGUGGAGGUCAGAAGGGUGCGAGAAGGAGGGACGCGCGGACCUGUGGAUAGGAAGUUCAGGAGACGGGUGGCCCAAGUCCUGGCUCCAACUUUGGAGCUUUCUGAGGAGACUUAGCAGAACUUGAGGGCUGGAAAAACACCUGACACUUUCAAGGAGAGGUGGUCAGAUCCCACGUGCAGCUUUGGAGGGCACAAAGAAUUCGGAGAGAUUCAUGGGGCGUAGGAAAUACGGGACCUGGGACAGUACCUUACACUCACGGACAGGUGACGACAGGGUCCCAGACCCGCCUUGCCUUACCCCCUAGCUCGCGGGCAAAGCAGUAGACAUCGUAGAGUUCCUGCGGGUCGCGUCUCCCGUAGCUCCGAACACCCGGGAGACUGCUGCGGUCACCAUAGCAACCAGGACGCGACUGAGUGAUCGGGUACCUAACAGUACGAGGGGAGUGGCUAUUGCCGUGUGUUCUUGGAGCCUCUUUCUCCAGGAGCGACCCCCCAGUUCCAUGCCUCCCGCGCACCCCCUCACCGAACCGUGCGGUCUGAGAGCCAGCCCGCGUCGCAGUUGUCAAAGCCAUCUUCAAAGGCAGCCUGCAGGUGCCGUGGGGCAGCGAUGGUAGCAGAGCUUAGGCGACAAGCCUCCUGGGCCUCAGCGAAGGUCAGUUCAGCAGAAGACAGUGAGAGGUGGGAAACUCCACUGCUGGUUAGAACUAAACCCAGCUAGAGAAGCAGCAGAAAAAGGUUCUAGCAUGAAAAGUCUUGCCCCGUCCCGCUGACCCACUAUGAUGUCAACUGAGAUGACUUCCCACUCACCCUGAUCCCCAGCCACUAGGAGAAGCAGCCACAGCAGCAGGAGGCCUGAGGCCCACACAGAUCCGGCCCCCAUACUGGAGCUAGGAGCAAAGGAGAGGAAGGGAAGGUGAAUCGUGGCAUCCCCAAGACAUUCAACAUGGAGGAACCAGACAGUCCCAGGAAGAAUUAGAGCCAGAACUCAUAAAGGCCAGCAUGUUGCUGAAGGAACAUGCCACAGCAGAAGGGAAGCAGAAGCCAAGCAGGAUAUGUA